GACGAACCGAGCGAACGUUGUUCGGAAUCACUGGGCUUAAAGGGCGCGUAGGCGGGUGCUCAAGUCUGUGGUGAAAUCCUCCGGCUCAACCGGAGAACUGCCAUGGAUACUGGGUGCCUCGAGGGUGGUAGGGGUAUGCGGAACUAUCGGUGGAGCGGUGAAAUGCGUUGAUAUCGAUAGGAACUCCGGUGGCGAAGGCGGCAUACUGGACCACUUCUGACGCGGAGGCGCGAAAGCCAGGGGAGCAAACGGG
rnacentral:rRNA from 1 species